GACGAACGCUGGCGGCGUGCCUAAUACAUGCAAGUCGAACGCAGUGGGGACGGGUGAGUAACACGUGGGUAACCUCCCAUCAGAGGGGAUAACACUUGGCAACAGGUGCUAAACCGAUACUGAUGGAUGAACCCGCGGUGCAUUAGCUAGUUGGUGAGGUAACGGCUCACCAAGGCCACGAUGCAUAGCUGGCCUGAGAGGGUGAGCGGCCACACUGGAACUGAGACACGGCCCAGACUCCUACGGGAGGCAGCAGUGGGGAAUAUUCGGCAAUGGGCGAAAGUCUGACCGAGCAACGCCGCGUGAGUGAAGAAGGUUUUCGGAUCGUAAAACUCUGUUAGUAGAGAAGCGUUAUCUAACCAGAAAGCCACGGCUAACUACGUGCCAGCAGCCGCGGUAAUUC
rnacentral:rRNA from 1 species